CAUAUAAUCGAUAACAAUGGAAUUUUAUGGAAUUAUUAGUGGUUUGGUCAACUAAGAAAAAAGACGUGUAAUAAAUCGUUAUGGUCGCUUCGAUCGAAAUUCCAAUGCUUUUUGGCUUCAUUGAAACUACUACAAAGGCCAGUGUCGAUGAUCUGUGAGAAUUGCAGUUGAUAAAUGAUGUCAGAGAAGAACUAAAUUAACGAUCAAGGACACACCUGUGAAAGUAUCUACAAGAUUAAAGUGAAGUUUAAAGAAAAGGAAACUUAUCGUUAUAAAGAUAAUAUAUCAAUCUUUAAUAUAAAUCAGGUGAAAGCUAUCGGUUGACGUUUUUACUACACACGAAAAAGUUGAACUAAAGUGACGCAUUACAGAGAGCAAUUUUUCUACAUACUUCAAAUCUUCGUUUGAAGCCUCGACAUGAACGUAACAGAUAAAGGAUCGAUAUAGUGAUACUACGUAUAAACGAAUUCACAAACAUACAAAGAGAUGUUUUUGUGGCAUGCAAAGUGAUAGGAAGAGGUAGAGAACAAUUUUACCAGAGACGACCGACUGCUGCAGCGUAUAUUGCAUCCCACAGUGUAGUGCCGUACUCAGUGUCAACGGAAUACAUGAAUUGAAUGAGGUAUUGACCGAUGACAUAAGGGGAUGCGAAAGCAACAAAAGUGAUGAUAUAGAAGUGCCAGAGAGGGAAGUGAAGAAAUGGAUGUAAACAAAAAGAAAGAAGAACAGUACGUAAGAAAAUAGUAUUAGUAUAGUUAGUCUUGCGGCCAUAGCGCCUAUCCCUCCAUAUAAUAUUCCCCUAUGCUAUUUUUUUUUUUUUUUUGGUGAACGCUUGAAGAUCUCCAUUCAUUCUGCGCGAGUACUCACUUGGGAAGUUGCGUUCAUCACCGUUCUGUAACGGUGUUAUUACUGUAAUAGGUAAUAAAGAUACUCGUCGAGAUUCACUGGACGAUAGAAAUACAGAACAGACGUCCAUUUAAGGAUUCAUGUUGCUGUCAUUAGGCACAGCACACACUCGGUGGAAUGGAACGGACUGCAGCAGCGCGUACAAAUCCCUAAGGGAAACGCAAAGGACUUUUGAUAUCAUGCUACAGCUACAGCCAGGUCCUAGGAAUCGUUUGCCUUGUAGCGACGGAGUUGGUGAUCGUGAUGGGUGAUGAAGGGUGAUGACGUUGGUCAGGUUGGCAAGCCUUACAUGAAUCAGGAUGUGGCUUCUCCUCGGCCACCAUCAGGGCUGCGCUCUCAGCUGGCGAGAACGGGAGGAAGUGUCAAGGGUCCGUCAACGUUUGAUCACUAGUCAAAGAUGUACCCGUUCUUCGUCACGUCCUUCUCAAUCGAGUCGAUCCUCCCGUCUCUUUUGUAUUAAAAAGAAAGUCCUGAGCGCCAUUGUGUCACGAUGAACCUUUUGCUAUUAUAACCCUAAGCACAUGCUAGGUAGACUUACAACGUCAGGGCGUCACGUAACCGCAAAUCAUCCCGUAUAUCAUCGUUCACCCAGUAUCUGAUAGAAUGAUCAAGUGGUCUGAUAUAAUGGACAGUGUUUCAAGUACAGGGUGAUUCUAUCUGGAUGACUCUUAUGCAUGGAAUUCUAAUCGAUACCACUGUACAGGUAUGAGCAAUAUACUUUUCACAGAGUUUUCAUUAAAAAUAUAUUUUAAUUAUAAGUGUAUAAUCUAUGAUAAAUAAUCUAUCAUAAAACUCACUGCUCUACCUAAUCUUAAGUAAGCAAAGAAUCAGUAACGAAUUGAAAUAUUGUACGACGAACUUAAUGAGAAUCGUCGUCGAGCGUCAAGCAGGAUUAACAAACGAAUCGGGUGAAUGUUUCGGCAA